UACGUAGGGGGCGAGCGUUGUCCGGAGUUACUGGGCGUAAAGGGUGUGUAGGCGGUUUUUUAAGUUUGGUGUGAAAUCUCCCGGCUCAACUGGGAGGGUGCGCCGAAUACUGAAUGACUUCGAGUGCGGGAGAGGAAAGUGGAAUUCCUGGUGUAGCGGUGAAAUGCGUAGAUAUCAGGAGGAACACCGGUGGUGUAGACGGCUUUCUGGACCGUAACUGACGCUGAGACACGAAAGCGUGGGUAGCAAACAGG
rnacentral:rRNA from 1 species